GGGGUAGCAGCUCAGUGGUAGCGCUCCCGGUUCGUAUGCGGGAAGACCUGGGAUCGAUUCCCGGCUGCUUCC
rfam:Toxocara canis scaffold245, whole genome shotgun sequence.